AGAGGGUGACUUAGCGGCGGACGGGUGAGUAACGCGUGGGCAACCUGCCUUACACAGGGGGAUAACAAUUAGAAAUGAUUGCUAAUACCGCGUAAGACCCCAGUACCGCAUGGUACAGAGGUAAAAACUGAGGUGGUGUAAGAUGGGCCCGCGUCUGAUUAGGUAGUUGGUGGGGUAGAAGCCUACCAAGCCGACGAUCAGUAGCCGACCUGAGAGGGCGACCGGCCACAUUGGGACUGAGACACGGCCCAAACUCCUACGGAAGGCAGCAG
rnacentral:rRNA from 1 species